AAUUCAAUUACAUUGUACUAACUAUAAUACUUACAGGAGAUGGACGAACUAAAGAAGGAUCGUUUCCAGAGUAGCCGCAGCAAAGAUCGAUAAAGAAUUCGAUCCAACAGUAUCAACUCACGUAGCAUGCAGCACCGGAGAAAUCGACGGCCGGAGAAUUGGAUUAGCUGACCUAACAAAGUUUCUCCAGACUCGACGGAGCCAAUGUCGAAAAUUGCCGAUGUCGGAAGUUAAUUGGAAAUCGCCUAUCUCGUCGGAGUUAAAUGUCAAAAUUAAAUGAAUUGGGUCGGAAUUAAUUGGGUUGGGUCGGGAUUAUUUUGAUUUCGAUUUAGAUUUUGUUUUUGAUUUUUCUUUUAAAAUUAAUAGAUAUAAUUCAUUAAGGGUAAAUAGGUAUUAUCCACUACAAGAAUGGCAUGCAGAUCAAAAGAUGGCACGCCAGAUUCAAAUUUCCGGUUCAGUGGCAUUGUUGAUCAGGACUUUGACGAAGAAGACUAAACAAAUCCAGUAUAACUUCGGCUUGGUUUGAGUCUAUUU
rnacentral:sRNA from 1 species